UAGUAACGGCGAGUGAAGCGGGAUGAGCUCAAAUUUAAAAUCUGGCUGGUUUACUAGUCCGAGUUGUAGUUUAAAGAAGCGUUUUCGGUGGCAGUCUCGGUAAAAGUCCUUUGGAAUAGGGCAUCACAGAGGGUGAGAAUCCCGUCUUUGACUGAGAAUAUGCUACUAUGUGAUACGUUUUCAAAGAGUCGAGUUGUUUGGGAAUGCAGCUCAAAAUGGGUGGUAAAUUUCAUCUAAAGCUAAAUAUUGGCGAGAGACCGAUAGCGAACAAGUACCGUGAGGGAAAGAUGAAAAGAACUUUGAAAAGAGAGUUAAACAGUGCGUGAAAUUGUUGAAAGGGAAACGCUUGAAACCAGUCAUGCGGCUGGGAAAUCAGUCUCUGACGAGGGGGAAUGGGAGAGGUGUGGACCGCAAGGCUGCUCUUUUUCAUAUCUUUUUCGGCAGGGAUGCACUUUUUCUUCCGCAGGUCAACAUCAGUUUGCUUUGCCGGACAAAACUCUUGGGAAGGUGACAGCUUAGGCUGUGUUAUAGCCCUGGAGCGAUACGGUGGAGCGGACUGAGGUUUUCGCAGCAUGUGCUCUCGGGCAAGGCUGAUUGGGUGCUAUGAGAUCGUUCAGGGUACAAUACAUGU
rnacentral:rRNA from 1 species